rnacentral:lncRNA from 1 species
AAGUUCUCUAGCGUAACUAGUUCCCUAAUAUCAGUACAUAAUUUAGCUAUGUGUAAUUAUAAAUCUCUAACCUCACCGCAGAUACUGAAUUUAAUGGUCUCAUGUAAGUGAGUUAUAGUAUCCCUUUGUUUCCGAAGCCUUAGACGUGUCACCGUAUCCACUUCGGCCCUAGUUACUAACAAAAUAUGCGUACGUUCAUAGAAACUAGUGUAUAAAACGAUAAAUACAAAUACUGACAGAUAAUAAAUGAAUAACAAUUUGUGUAUAGACUUGGAAAUAACCAGAUUACAUGUUCUCAAGCAUUCCUAGGGGAGUUCAUCUACUUGCCAUAACCUAAAGGGACUUAGCUACUAUUAAGCAUAUUGAACAAAAAAGAAAACAUGUAUAAAAAUAACCUCGAUUCCUUGCUGAGGAAGUUUCGUCUCCCUAUGGUGGAGGAGAGUCUCACUCUCUUGAGAGCUGCUUAGCCCUGGGUUUAGGGCCAGAGUUUUCAGGAUUUGGGGUUUAGGGUUGCGG